UACGGCGGGUGCAAGCGUUAUCCGGAUUCACUGGGUUUAAAGGGUGCGUAGGUGGGUUGGUAAGUCAGUGGUGAAAUCUCCAGGCUUAACUUGGAAACUGCCAUUGAUACUAUCAAUCUUGAAUACCGUGGAGGUCAGCGGAAUAUGUCAUGUAGCGGUGAAAUGCUUAGAUAUGACAUAGAACACCAAUUGCGAAGGCAGCUGGCUACACGAAUAUUGACACUGAUGCACGAAAGCGUGGGGAUCAAACAGG
rnacentral:rRNA from 1 species